AGAGUUUGAUCCUGGCUCAGGACGAACGCUGGCGGCGUGCCUAACACAUGCAAGUCGAGCGAGGAAUGACUGGUAGCUUGCUACCGGUUAUUUCUAGCGGCGGACGGGUGAGUAACGCGUGAGCAACCUGCCUUUAUCAGGGGGAUAACGCAUCGAAAGAUGUGCUAAUACCGCGUAAGACCACAGCCUCACAUGGGGCAGGGGUCAAAGGAGGAAUCCGGAUAAAGAUGGGCUCGCGUCCGAUUAGCUAGUUGGUGAGAUAACAGCCCACCAAGGCGACGAUCGGUAGCCGACCUGAGAGGGUGAUCGGCCACAUUGGAACUGAGAGACGGUCCAGACUCCUACGGGAGGCAGCAGUGGGGAAUAUUGGGCAAUGGGCGAAAGCCUGACCCAGCAACGCCGCGUGAGGGAAGAAGGGUUUCGGCUCGUAAACCUCUGUCCUAUGGGACGAAGGAAGUGACGGUACCAUAGGAGGAAGCCCCGGCUAACUACGUGCCAGCAGCCGCGGUAAUACGUAGGGGGCGAGCGUUGUCCGGAAUGAUUGGGCGUAAAGGGCGCGUAGGCGGCCUGCUAAGUCUGAAGUGAAAGUCCUGCUUUCAAGGUGGGAAGUGCUUUGGAUACUGGUGGGCUGGAGUGCAGGAGAGGAAAGCGGAAUUACCGGUGUAGCGGUGAAAUGCGUAGAGAUCGGUAGGAACACCAGUGGCGAAGGCGGCUUUCUGGACUGAAACUGACGCUGAGGCGCGAAAGCGUGGGGAGCAAACAGGAUUAGAUACCCUGGUAGUCCACGCC
rnacentral:rRNA from 1 species